rnacentral:rRNA from 1 species
UUGCAGGCUGCAACCCGCCUGCAUGAAGUCGGAAUUGCUAGUAAUCGCGGAUCAGCAUGCCGCGGUGAAUACGUUCCCGGGCCUUGUACACACCGCCCGUCACACCAUGGGAGUCGGUAACACCCGAAGCCAGUAGUCUAACCGCAAGGAGGACGCUGCCGAAGGUGGGAUUGAUGACUGGGGUGAAGUCGUAACAAGGUACC